ACGGGAGGCAGCAGUGGGGAAUAUUGGACAAUGGGGGAAACCCUGAUCCAGCGACGCCGCGUGAGUGAAGAAGUAUUUCGGUACGUAAAGCUCUAUCAGCAGGGAAGAUAAUGACGGUACCUGACUAAGAAGCCCCGGCUAACUACGUGCCAGCAGCCGCGGUAAUACGUAGGGGGCAAGCGUUAUCCGGAUUUACUGGGUGUAAAGGGAGCGUAGACGGUCUUGCAAGUCUGAAGUGAAAGCCCGGGGCUCAACCCCGGAACUGCUUUGGAAACUGUAAAACUAGAGUGCAGGAGAGGUAAGCGGAAUUCCUAGUGUAGCGGUGAAAUGCGUAGAUAUUAGGAGGAACACCAGCGGCGAAGGCGGCUUACUGGACUGUAACUGACGUUGAGGCUCGAAGGCGUGGGGAGCAAACAGGAUUAGAUACCCUGGUA
rnacentral:rRNA from 1 species